rnacentral:rRNA from 1 species
GACGAACGCUGGCGGCGUGCCUAAUACAUGCAAGUAGAACGCUGAAGGAGGAGCUUGCUUCUCUGGAUGAGUUGCGAACGGGUGAGUAACGCGUAGGUAACCUGCCUGGUAGCGGGGGAUAACUAUUGGAAACGAUAGCUAAUACCGCAUAAUAGUAGAUGUUGCAUGACAUUUGCUUAAAAGGUGCAAUUGCAUCACUACCAGAUGGACCUGCGUUGUAUUAGCUAGUUGGUGGGGUAACGGCUCACCAAGGCGACGAUACAUAGCCGACCUGAGAGGGUGAGCGGCCACACUGGGACUGGGACACGGCCCAGACUCCUACGGGAGGCAGCAGUAGGGAAGCGUCGGAAAUGGACGGAAGUCUGACCGAGCAACGCCGCGUGAGUGAAGAAGGUUUUCGGAUCGUAAAGCUCUGUUGUAAGAGAAGAACGAGUGUGAGAGUGGAAAGUUCACAAUGUGACGGUAUCUUACCAGAAAGGGACGGCUAACUACGUG